rnacentral:rRNA from 1 species
AACGAACGCUGGCGGCAGGCCUAACACAUGCAAGUCGAACGCCCUAGCAAUAGGGAGUGGCAGACGGGUGAGUAACGCGUGGGAACCUUCCCAGUGGUACGGAAUAGCCCAGGGAAACUUGGAGUAAUACCGUAUACGCCCGAAAGGGGAAAGAUUUAUCGCCAUUGGAUGGGCCCGCGUCGGAUUAGCUAGUUGGUGAGGUAACGGCUCACCAAGGCGACGAUCCGUAGCUGGUCUGAGAGGAUGAUCAGCCACACUGGGACUGAGACACGGCCCAGACUCCUACGGGAGGCAGCAGUGGGGAAUAUUGGACAAUGGGCGCAAGCCUGAUCCAGCCAUGCCGCGUGAGUGACGAAGGCCUUAGGGUUGUAAAGCUCUUUUGUCGGGGACGAUAAUGACGGUACCCGAAGAAUAAGCUCCGGCUAACUUCGUGCCAGCCGCCGCCGUAAUAC